AGAUAAUAUUCACAAGAUAGAAAAGUCUAAUCCACCAUUGAAAUGGAGAGUGAUCCCAGAUCUCCUGCGGAAAGAGCAGCAAGCUACAGCUUAUUGAGUGAAGAGGAAAGAUGAAAUAUUCUUAGAAAUCAGCUAUUAUCAAGGUAUCCACCACGAGAAAACGAUCCGGCAUUCCCAAUCAACCCGACCAUUGGCUCUUCUACCAGGAGUGAUUCCUCCCAAUCACAAGUGACUGAGGAUGACAGAAUCGGAACCAAAACUUGGUGUUUAUGUCAGAAUUGCAUAGAAAUGCCCACAAACGUUGAAGCCGUUUGCUGCCAAGAAAUUGAUGAUGUCAAAGGAUAUAUACCACAAGGAAAAAAUUGCAUAACAGAAUCAGAAAUUUUCAAUACUGUAGUAGCUUCAGAUCGACUCAUAAGAAUAAUAAAUAAUAUUGUAUUUUUAGAGGAACGACCAGAGGUAGAUCCUGAUAACAACAGGUAAAUAGAAAAAGAUAUAUGUUUAUCCUAUUUACACUACUAUAUUUCUCCUUUUACUAAUAUUUUUGUAUUUUGAUACAAUUUAAUUUUUUUUAUUAGGAGAUUAAGAAAAACAGCAUAUAGGACAUAUAUAUCGUGCAUCUAUGGUUUCCUAGGGAAAGGUAACAGGAGGGUGAUCCCGUCAUGUGCAGUUAACAUUAUACGCCUGCUUUUUCCUGAUCCAAAUGGAACAUACGUUGGAUUUAUGUAUUCGGAGGACUAUAAUGCAUCAGAGAUGGCUUUUCAUUAAUUAUCUAAUUUAAAAUGUUUAUUUUUGUUGUUGUUUUUUUUUUUGGUUGGUUUUUAAUAUAUUAAAGUUUUGUAUGUAAUUUAACAUAAUAAAAAGAGUUCUAUUCAAAAUAACAA